rnacentral:misc_RNA from 1 species
CAUUAUAAUUAUUAAUUUAAUUAUUAUAAUAUAGAGUUUAUUAUUAAAUGAGUGUUAGAUAAUAAUUAAUAAAAAUUAUAAUUUUAUUUAGUAAUUUCAUUAAUUAAAUUUAAUAAACUAGCUAAAUACGAGUGAAGAGGAGUUAAACUUAAUGAAAAACUGAUAAGCUGAGAUGAUAGAUGGGCACUAUAAUAAAUGUUAUAAUUCAAAAUUAACAAAGUAAUUUAUUUUAAGGAUCUUUAUUUCAUGUGCUUACAGGUACUGAAGACGCUCGAGUUUCCCCAGCUCAGGUACUAGA